rnacentral:tRNA from 1 species
GGGAAUAUAACUCAGUUCGGUUAGAGUAAUAGCAAUUUUUGAUGUGUGGGUUCGAAUCCCACUGCCA